UCUUAAUUCACCGGUUUACUAGUCAUUUGGACAGUAAACGACAAUUUGAUUUACUUUUACUCUUUUUCGGUAACUUUAGUGGCCCUAAAAGUUGACUUUUUGUUCGGGUCAAAAUUUGAGAAAAUGUUCUUCAUGAAAGUUGUAGAGGACGUUAAACCGAGCGCGUGCAUAUGUGGUACGUAAAAAUCGGAGUUCGUAUGUGAAAGUUAUAAGCGAAAUACUAAAGUUACUGUUCAUAUAGUAAGUUUCUAUAAAUAGCCGAGUUACUGUGGUAAGUUUCCAUUUUCGGAAACUUACCGAGCCCUCUCCCUUCUCUCUCCCCGACCCUCUCUUCCUCUCCGACCUCUUCACCUUCUUCCGGCCAUAACUCCUCCAUCCGGCGACGGAUUUUGACGUAUAAGAUGUCGUUGGAAAGAUCUCUUCCUAUUCUGCAUUUCUGGGUUCGUUUCGUAGCUUAAUAUGAACUGUGGAAGGUGCAGCAACGAGAAGAAGAGGACGGUCACUGUAGCAGUUUUGAGUCAACGCCGAUAUUUUCCGAUUCCGGCAGUCUCCGGCCACCUAACUGGCAUCGAAGGGUUCUUGGAAUUUCUGGAAAUUUUUCACCGGCCAAAUUGGAGCUCUUCCAGGGCAAUGCCGCGAGCUACGGUUAAAUGAAGGAACUCGUUUGCGUGGUCGCCCAAUAGUACUUUUGCAGGCGAAAUUAGUUGAGGUCGGGCGUACAUGGAGUCGAGGCAUAGCCAACAGCAUUGCUUCCGCGUUUUGGGUAGCCUACUUUUAGGGGAAGUUCCGCCAAAUUUUUGGUAGAAUCUCUUCUAAAGUGGGCCCCGCAGGGCCACUUCGGAUUUCAGGGUGAAAUCUGGGGCGGGUCC